rnacentral:rRNA from 1 species
AUGGAACAACUCAACCUGGAAGAUGAAGACUUUGAUGAUCUGGUGAUAGAUGAGGCUGAUCCGGAGAUCAAUGAGAGCGUGAGAUGGCUCGCGCUGGCUAGGGUUCAUACCGAGAAAACCUUCAGCCAAGCGGCCUUCUAUAAGGAUAUGCGGGCGGCUUGGAACCCCGCGCAGCCGGUAAGGUUUCGCCCGGUUGGGCCGAAGCUUUUUGUUGUACAAGCAUCUUGCUUGGGAGACUGGGAACGUAUUGUGCAUCAAGCGCCUUGGCUAUUCAGGAAUUUACUCGUGUUGAUGGUUCCAUAUGAUGGUUUCACAAAGGAAGAGGAAGUUCCCAUGGUGUUUAUGCCAAUUUGGCUACAGAUUCACAAGAUCCCGGAGGGUUUCUGCAGGAAGAACAUUGUGGAAAAUUUGCUGAAAAACUCUGGCGAGAUCCUGGAGAUGAGACUGAAUGGGAAUACCCGUGGUGACUACAUUAGGGUUAGGGUUCGGCAUGAUGUUCACCAGCCUCUCACCAAGUUUGUCAGUAUUGUCAGGGGGAAAGAACGCCAAGUCUACUUGGUGCGUUACGAGAAACUGGCAUGCUUUUGCAGUGUGUGUGGGCUCAUUGGUCAUGAUUGCAAAGAGUGUGGAUCAGGGGUGCAUGAGGAGAAGGACAAGAAGUAUGGGUCUUGGCUCUAUGCUGAUGGACUAAAUAAACCGCCGUCCAACGAUAGUUAUGGCCGGGUAAGGAGUCAGAAGCAACAUACGCCUCAAUCUCACCAGCAGAAGUCGCCGGGAAAGACAGUGGUGGACCCAGACAUGCUUGAUACGGCUACAAGCCCUGCCAAGGAAGGACACAUAUCCAAGCAAGGAGAUCCAGCAGCUCACAAAAGACUCUCCAUGGAGGAUGUUGGACCGGAUGCCAAUGCGUUGGUAGGGCCGAGAGGUGUGCUAGCACUUACCCAGGGGAAUGGUGAGGAUGGUGCACAUGCCUCGCCUACUAGCAGUGCUAGCAGUAAGAGGGCUCGUGUUGACUCAAGUGGUAUGUCAGGUGAUAGAUCGGCGGCCUCCUUCGAGGAGGACCGCCGGAUGCAAUGA